CGGAUUCAUCACGUUGAUAGGUUGAUUUUCAACAGGCCUCUCGAUUGGAGACAGAUUCAUCACGUUGAUAGGUUGAUUUUCAACAGGCCUCUUGGAUUGGAGACGGAUUCAUCACGUUGAUAGGUUGAUUUUCAACAGGCCUCUUGGAUUGGAGACGGAUUCAUCACGUUGAUAGGUUGAUUUGUAUUUAUAGAUUUUUGUUUAUUUAACUGUUACAGCCUAUCAAUAUGAAAGAAAGAAAGGGAGAAUAGAUGUCGCUUGCUGCAAGCGAUGUGUUACUCAAGUACCUACAGUAGGCCUAUAAAGUAUAUAACCUUUAAAAAAAAACAUUUAAGCUGUGAACUUCAGGGUUUAAGAACAGAAUAAAGUUAUAAAUAAAGUUAUAAAUAAAGACUCGUUCGUCCAUCCUCUCAUAGUAAAGAGUGGGGUCGUGACCUGGGACAAAGGUGUUUGAGCAGGCAUUCUAUUAGACUGACGAUCAUUCAAUAACUAGUAUGCUGUUACAUAGUGAUUCAAUCAUUUCUUUCUAAUUACAUACACUCCAUCUCUCUGUCUCUCUCUUCCCCUACCCUCCCUCCAUCUCUCUGUCUCUCUCUCUCCCUACCCUCCCUCCAUCUCUCUCUCUCUCUCUCUUCCCCUACCCUCCCUCCAUCUCUCUGUCUCUCUCUCUCCCUACUCUCCCUCCAUCUCUCUCUCUCCCUACCCUCCCUCCAUCUCUCUCUCUCCCUACUCUCCCUCCAUCUCUCUCUCUCCCUACCUUCCCUCCAUCUCUCUCUCUCUCUCUCCCUACCCUCCCUCCAUCUCUCUCUCUCUCUCUCUCCCUACCCUCCCUCCAUCUCUCUCUCUC
ensembl:lncRNA